CUGGUGGAGAAAUCCCUCUGAGUGCUCUGGAGGGUUGGACAUUUUCACACUAGAGGUGGUGACACACAUAAAUUUAUCACACACGCACUUCAAACACACGCACUUUACCACUGUAACACACACAAUUCUGAACAAGAGUGGUAGGGAAGAGAAAGAACGAGGAGAAGAAGGAAGAGAAGGAGAAAGGAAAGGAAAGAAAGGACUUUGAAGGUUGAGGUGGGGUGGGGGACCUCGGACCUUAGGGCAGGAGAGCAAUCUUGGCCUCUUUCACUCCCUCCCAUUUGUUGUGGAAACAAUUGCUACAGACAACCAUGCAGAGAGCAGGAAGUGCUUCUGUGGGCGGAAACGUGUGCAGGUAGAGGAAAGGGAGCAAACCUUACUGGGCCAGGGCCGGACAGCGAGGAAUUCCACAAGGAAACAAAGCAAGCCAGUCCAGAAACAGCGCGCUGUCGACACCAUCCCGGGUCAAGCAUCCAGCAACACUGCUUUGUUCAUGAGCAAGCUGGUACCAACCACUACCAUCCCAACCAAGGAGCACAGCCACCUAGAAGAAAAGAGCCAUCACCAGACAAGAGGCAGGGAAGGGAGCCCUUCCACCUGCCACCCCAAAUCCACCGCACUAGCCAGUCCUGCCCACCCCCAACUCCAGCAACUCCUGAGGACAUGAGAAGAUAAGUGCAUCUCUACAGGACCAGUUCAUACCCAGACCCCAGGCUACGUACCGACCCAUCUUAUUGGCCAGCACACCGAAGAGGUUGGUGCCAAUGAGGUAGGACACACUGGCAGGCAAGAAAGCCAGACCUGUGGAAGGACACAGAGCCUCACCUUAGGAUGUGUCCAGUUGAAUCUGAAACAUCUGUCUGCUGUGAGACAGCAAAGUUCCCCCAACACACUGCUUUAUGGUUUGGAGAUCCUGGUGCAAAUGCAGAGCAGAAGUCCCGGGAACCCACAUUGCUGCUCUUCCUAAGAGCCUCAACACAUUUAAUGUGCUUCUAGUCCCUUCUCAGACUUUCUGACAAGAGGCCCUAAUGAGCCAUCAGCAGGAGAACGUGAAGGACAUGCAUACUUCUUGGAAAUAAAAUUCCCACCUUGCUAUUUACUUGUUCUAUUGCUCUGCUAGUGACCUAGGAUGAAACAUUCUGAGCCUUGGUUCCCACGUCUGGGGAAAGUAAAGCUAUGAUUCUCUCCUAACAGGUUACGGUGAAGAGCAAAUUAGAUAUGGUACGUGAAAACAUCUUGUAAAUGGAAGCCCUGGCCACAUGGCUUUGUGUGAGGGUAGAGUGAAGAAUUCUAGAAACAUGGGCUUGCCACGCAGUUCUGAAUUCAAAUUGUGGCUUGGCCACUUGUGAGCUCUAUGACCUUGGGCAAUUUACUUACUGUUUCUGAGUCUCUUUCAUUCAUCCCUUAAAGUAAACUUUCCAUUUGCCAGGCAUUCUGGGGAUUAGGAAUGGAGUCAGAAAUAGACGGACACAAUUCUAGCUUACAUUAUAGCAGAGAGAAAUAGUAAAACACUAAACAAAUAAACAAAAAAAUGUAAUUUUUAAAAAUGCUGCCAGGCCUGGUGGUUCACGCCUGUAAUCCCAGCACUUGGGAGGUUGAGACAGGAGGAUUACUGUGAGUUCAAGACCAGCUUGGGCUACAUAGUGAGUCUGAGGCCAGUGUGAGCUACAAAGUGAGACCUGGCCUCAAAAAAACCAAAAACAAAAAAAGAAAGAAAGAAAAAUGUUGGGCUCUGUGGAGGAAACCUAACGUGGCAAUAUGGCAGAGUGAACAAGAAGAAAAACUGUAUUGGCUCAAGGAAAGCCUCUCUGAGAAAAUGC